rnacentral:rRNA from 1 species
UACGGGGGGAGCAAGCGUUGUUCGGAUUUACUGGGCGUAAAGGGCGCGUAGGCGGUCAGCACAAGUCAGUUGUGAAAUCUCCGGGCCUAACCCGGAAACUGCGUUGGAUACUAUUCGGCUAGAGGAAUGGAGGGGAGACUGGAAUACUUGGUGUAGCAGUGAAAUGCGUAGAUAUCAAGUGGAACACCAGAGGCGAAGGCGAGUCUCUGGACAUUUCCUGACGCUGAGGCACGAAAGCCAGGGGAGCAAACGGG